GACGAACGCUGGCGGCGUGCUUAACACAUGCAAGUCGAACGGAAAGGCCCUUCGGGGUACUCGAGUGGCGAACGGGUGAGUAACACGUGGGUGAUCUGCCCUGCACUUUGGGAUAAGCCUGGGAAACUGGGUCUAAUACCGAAUAGGACCACGCGCUUCAUGGUGUGUGGUGGAAAGCUUUUGCGGUGUGGGAUGGGCCCGCGGCCUAUCAGCUUGUUGGUGGGGUAAUGGCCUACCAAGGCGACGACGGGUAGCCGGCCUGAGAGGGUGACCGGCCACACUGGGACUGAGAUACGGCCCAGACUCCUACGAGAGGCAGCAGUGGGGAAUAUUGCACAAUGGGCGCAAGCCUGAUGCAGCGACGCCGCGUGAGGGAUGACGGCCUUCGGGUUGUAAACCUCUUUCACCAGGGACGAAGCGUAAGUGACGGUACCUGGAGAAGAAGCACCGGCCAACUACGUG
rnacentral:rRNA from 1 species